AUUGAACGCUGGCGGCAGGCUUAACACAUGCAAGUCGAGCGGGGUGAUGGUGCUUGCACUAUCACUUAGCGGCGGACGGGUGAGUAAUGCUUAGGAAUCUGCCUAUUAGUGGGGGACAACAUCUCGAAAGGGAUGCUAAUACCGCAUACGUCCUACGGGAGAAAGCAGGGGAUCACUUGUGACCUUGCGCUAAUAGAUGAGCCUAAGUCGGAUUAGCUAGUUGGUGGGGUAAAGGCCUACCAAGGCGACGAUCUGUAGCGGGUCUGAGAGGAUGAGCAGCCACACUGGGACUGGGACAAGGCCCAGACUCCUACGGGAGGCAGCAGUGGGGAAUAUUGGACAAUGGGGGGAACCCUGAUCCAGCCAUGCCGCGUGUGUGAAGAAGGCCUUAUGGUUGUAAAGCACUUUAAGCGAGGAGGAGGCUCUUUUGGUUAAUACCCAAGAUGAGUGGACGUUACUCGCAGAAUAAGCACCGGCUAACUCUGUGCCAGCCGCCGCAGUAA
rnacentral:rRNA from 1 species